CUCCGAGCCUGAGUAUGUGUUUUAGAAGUUGGAGAGACACUAGUGGGCUCUGUCCAAAACCUUGUGACUGAAUCUACACCAUCUCUGUCCCCAGUGGCCUAUGAGAGAGAAAAAAAACAGAUCAGAUUGUGUCUCACCGUCCCAUAUCUGAGGAGUCCAGCCACUGAUAACCUCUCUCCCUGAAUCCACUCAAACCCAAAGCAUCAUCUACUAGAGCAGUGAUACAGUGCCAAGCCCAGCAGAUACAGGAGACUGGAAAUACAGGACACAUGGUGCAAAUCAAACCCAGGAGAGCGGAGAAAACACACAGGUUAACCCAAAGCAAUGAUAUGCUCCGUUCUACCAAAAAACGUGUCAGAGUAAUGCAUCUCUGAGGAUUAAAGACUUAAAAGCCCACAUGAGCAGGGCAUCGUGGGAGCGUGUCCUGGCUUUGGGCUUGGGUUCGGCUACCUGCUCUUCCCCUCUACUGACCCGCGGAAGGCCCUGCGCCUCAGGCUACAGGCCGGCCGCCGCUCCCCUGCUCUCCCCCAGCAGGGGCUUACAUUUCAACCGAGCGCUCCAAGCCCCCUUCUGGAGGUGAUUAGCCCCCCGAAGCCGUGACAGAUUCUUUCCGAGAUAUCCGCCUCACUUGUGUUUAUUUUAUCCCAGCUCUCUUUUGUGGAUGUGCUGGACAUGAAGUAACCCACUUGAAAAUGGGUAUCGGCUUACAUACGCCACGGGACUGGCUGAGGAGUCGGAACAACAACAAAAAAGGAAAGAAAGAAAGCAACCAUUAUACAUAUAAAUAGGAUGUCUUUGCAUUAAUUUGGCCUGCUCUUUAGCUUGACUCUUCAUCUCUUAUCUCUUAUGCUUGACCCCCAUUGGUAGCAUCGGUUUGGACGCCCCCUGCCCCCAUCGGGUGGCACUGGGGCUACAGACGGCGCUCUCUCUCAGUCUGGGACCCCUAAGUGCCCGACCUCCUCUGUACUUAACUCAAUUUCACACUUCAGGUCCGCUACAAAGCCUCCUGAAAUACAAUCAUCUUGUUUAUUCUCCACCAUCCCAAACAACCUAAUGGCUGGCUAUUUACGAGCCCCAUCAUGUGCGUUCAAUUUGAUCAGACGGUGUGUAUGUUUUCGUGUAUUACACGCAAUGUAGAUCCAAGCAUGUCCCAAAUGACUGUAUGGAUUGAGCCCAUGGGGAGUAAUGAAAGUGGAGCAGUUUCCAAAGAGUUGAAAAAUUAUGUUCCAUAUUUUGGUAAAUGACAGCAACAGAUUCAUAAAAAAAAUCAAUUGAUUCAUUGAUAUGGUAGAUCACUUU